rnacentral:lncRNA from 1 species
CUUGGGUGGCAUCAGGAAGAUAGCCUUUCUGGAGGUGGCUCAGGCUUGUCCUGCAAACAACCCAUUAUAUAUAUCGGCAACAAACCAUGCGCGUGUGCGCGCACGCACACACACAUACAAGGAAAGAGAACCAUUGUUCUUCAGUUAUUUCCAUGUAAACAGAUUUUGAACGACAAUGUGAGAACAUGAGGACAUAAAGAUCACAAACAACAGUACAGGAAACAUAAACAUUCAUGUAGCGACCCUGUUAAAUAUUGUUCCCACUCAGCAGCUAUCCCAUAGAUAGAAAGGCGAACAACAAGGAACACAUGUAUGAGAUAAAUGGUGACCUACAGUCUUAUGUAGGCGCAUCAAUAAACUACACAACAUUCUUGGAGAAAAUAGAGAAUGCAAGAAAAUACAUACAAAUGCAUUGAGUCAAUAAUCAAAUAACAUACUUCUUAUUGUCUAUUUUGCUUGUAAUAACAAAGCCAAAACCAUUUGCUAUUUCAAACGUAAACUCACGCAUCUCUUUUACAAAUCAGACAAGAGCACCUACCAUCAAGAGCAGCCUGAAACAACGUCAUGAAGCAAGAAACAACAGUGGCACUAAAAACAUACUUUACUUUUGUAAGUGCGAACUUCUACUUCCAUCCAGCGACCAAAUUAUAGGACUGCCUUCUGCAAGGAUUUGAAGAAAAGAGUUACCCCAAAUGCAGACUUCUACAUAUGAGAAACUGCAACAACCUGCUUGUCCUCUUGUACAAAUUCCUCAUAUGAACAAUCAUAUUUCCAUGUGUAAAAUAUAAAUACAAAAUACUGGUUAUUCUACCCAUACAAGACAAGCUGAAGAAUAAUAAUCUAACCUUUCAUGGAUCACCAUAAUAAAAGCUAUUGUAGAAAAUAAUUUGGGCAAUCAAUUUCUGUGAGACCAAAAAAUGCAAGAAAAGCCGAUUAGUUGGGUCAGAAUAUUGCACCACUCGAUCAUCUCGGCAUUAUAGUUGCAGCCACCCAUAAAAACCAUGAAUGCUUCACACUAAAUAGGCAUAUACAUCGGAAUUUAGAGGGGAAUCACCGGAUGUAGUGUGCUAUGAGGCUGUUGAACUUGGUUGUCAUGUUGUCACUGCGCUGGAAACCUCGCUGAAAAGAUUCAAGAAGAAGCACCUAGUUGAGAGAGGGAGGCAAGGUAGAUGAAGAGAUAGAUCGGGAUGGAGUACAGGAGGGGAAAGAGAAACGGGGGAGGAUGAGCAUACCUGCAGCGUUCAUGGACUCUGCGAAUAUAAACGGUGGCCGUUGUUGUUGUCCUCGCGAGAACCUGAUGGAUACCCAAACCCUAGGUGCAAAAUAAAAAUUAAUUUAGGGAGGAAGAAAUCAAAAGGAGGCUCUUACACAGGAGGAAGUCCAAGGAUGCACUGAUCCAACUCCCUUGCUGCGUCCACCAUUUUC